rnacentral:rRNA from 1 species
GGGGGAAUAUUGGGCAAUGGGGGAAACCCUGACCCAGCAAUGCCGCGUGAAGGAAGAAGGCCUUCGGGUUGUAAACUUCUGUGACGAGGGAAGAAGAAAGUGACGGUACCUCGAGAGGAAGCUCCGGCAAACUACGUGCCAGCAGCCGCGGUAAUACGUAGGGAGCGAGCGUUGUCCGGAAUAACUGGGCGUAAAGGGCGCGUAGGCGGUUUUUCAAGUCCUAUGUGAAAGCCCCGGGCUUAACCUGGGGAGUGCAUAGGAAACUGAGAGACUUGAGUGUGGUAGAGGAUUGUGGAAUUCCUAGUGUAGCGGUGAAAUGCGUAGAUAUUAGGAGGAACACCAGUGGCGAAGGCGACGAUCUGGGCCACAACUGACGCUGAGGCGCGAAAGCGUGGGGAGCAAACA